AAAGUUGAAGAAACACCCCCUUCACUCACCCAAACCCAAAGCCAGGAAGAGGAUUAAACUAGCCAAAAAUCCAUGAGUAGAAUAAAUGAAUUGGGCGCUAACAGUAACAUGACCUUAUUAUCAUGUCUUUAUAUAUCAGUUUUGUAAUAGUCUCACUGUGAAAUGAAUUUCUGAUCUAUCUUGUAUGGCACAAAUCAGACACAGAUUAAGGUUUUAUUUUUGGUUUUAAAGGUACUCAAGAAUCUGCUUAGUUUGUUUCAGCCACGUGAUUUUUCAUGCCUGAAGAAUCAAUUUACAGCAUGAAAAAAUAUAUUUCUGACAGAGAAUAUUUCGAUUGGUAACUACAGGCCUUGGAGCAAGCCCAGAGCAAAGGUGGCUGACACCCCCAUAUUGCACACAAUCUCUUUGGGAUGUGAGAGCUACAUCUGAGCACCCAGUGGGAUGAUUAAAACAGCUACCUGAUACAUUGUCACAGAGAAACGCUGCAGAGCACAACGAUCCAGAAGUACUGACCAGGAUCGCCAUUCAAGCCCAGCUUUAACAAGCAUCCUGUAUUUCAUGGAUAUGUGGAAUCAGCUGUGGAAAAGCUAUAUCAAAUAGUCAAGCCUAGCACCACGAAAUAAUGUAAAAAUUAAUUAAACUUCUUCUGGUGUUUAAUUUAGUUUAAAGAACUUCAUUUUUAUAGUAAAAACUAACUGCAGAUCUCAAGAAAAGUCUCCUUUUUUUUUCUAGAACUCUGUUCCACUACACAUCUAAAUUAAAUCUGUGACUUCAUGUGUGAGACUUUGUAAGUUACAAAAAUUACCAGAGGCAUUUUUUCUGGCACUCUUAACUCAGGUAAAAAAAAAAUAGCAUGCAGAAAUCAGCUAUAGGCAAUUUGUGCAAAUCAUAAUUCUAUGAUUCUAAGUAUUACAGGAAGAGGAGGAGAUUGUUUUUCCCUCAGAUAAUUAACCAGCCCAUUUAGGGAAUAUUAUUGUAGGUUGAGUGAUAAGAAUAUGUAAAUCCCAUGUCCUCAUG